GGGGAUCGGAAGGGGGACCCGUAGCCCGCGCCGUAAAGGUUGACCGGCGCGCGAGGCCAGUGAGGCUGACGGCUCGGGCCCCGUGGCCGUCCUGACUCCUGCAGCGCGCGUACGCGACGGGGACAGCCCGUGUGCCCAGGGCCGCGCCCGCCCCCCUGUAUUGUACUGUACCGUGCGGGUACCGGCCGGGCGGGCGCCACCACCACCACCUUCCCGCACGCGCCGAGCGCCGUGGACAGACGUGGUGUGACGCGACACCAGCUAGCUCGCUAUUGCCUGCGCCGGGGACCGGCCGGCCGGGCCGGGCGUCGCGUGACCUGUGAGGAGCCGUGGCCGCUCCUCCACCUCCGUACGUGGCCC
rnacentral:lncRNA from 1 species